GUUAGGAAUAUUGGACAAUGGGCGCAAGCCUGAUCCAGCCAUGCCGCGUGAGUGAUGAAGGCCUUCGGGUUGUAAAGCUCUUUAGCCGAUGAUUAUAAUGACUGUAGUCGGAAAAUAAGCCCCGGCUAACUUCGUGCCAGCAGCCGCGGUAAUACGAAGGGGGCGAGCGUUAUUCGGAAUCACUGGGCGUAAAGCGUGCGUAGGCGGCUUUGCAAGUUGGGAGUGAAAGUCCAGGGCUCAACCCUGGAAUUGCUCUCAAAACUGCAAGGCUCGAAUUCGGGAGAGGAUAGCGGAAUUGUCAGUGUAGCAGUGAAAUGCGUAGAUAUUGACAGGAACACCAGUGGCGUAAGCGGCUAUCUGGACCGAUAUUGACGCUGAGGCACGAAAGCGUGGGGAUCAAACAGGAUUAGAAACCCGUGUAGUCC
rnacentral:rRNA from 1 species